GAGGGGCACGCGAGGGCUCGGUACGCUGUUCUCUCUUGCCAUUGGGCAUGUGUGAAAUUUCCCAAUAAUUUUUUUAUUAUUAUUCAAUUGUAAGUGUUUCUUUUUUUUUUUUCUUUUUACGGUUGCACCUGCGGCAUAUGGAAGUUCCCAGGGUACAUGUCUAAUUGGAGCUGCAGCUGCCGGUGUAUGUCACAGCCACAGCAACACCAGAUCCUUACUCACUGAGCGAGGCCAGGGAUCAAACCCGUAUCCUCACAGAGACAACGUCGGGGCCUCAACCCACUGCGUCACAAUGGGAACUCCCAAUUGUGUUUCUUAAUCAUGUUUUUAACCUAAGGAUUUUCCAAGGGUGUGUUAUUUGGUCUCAGACACAUAGGAUUUCUUUUAACAACUUUGUUGAGAUGUAAUUUACACACCAUAAAAUUCACCCGUUCCAAAGCUACAGCUGCUGGCCUACACCACAGCUACAGCAACACGGGAUCCGAGCCACAUCUGUGACCUACACUACAGGUCACAGCAAUGCUGGAUCCUUAACCCACUGAGCAAGGCCAGGGAUCAAACCUGCAUUCUCAUGAAUACUAGUUGGGUUGGUUUUCACUGAGCCAUGACAGAAACUCCCAAUUGAUUUAAUACAUUUAUAUUUCUUGAGCUUAUUCCUAGUAUUAUUCCCCUUUUUACCUCUGCAGCUGUAAGAACUCAUACAGAGGGACCCCUUGCUGUCUCCAGUGGUCAUGGCUUGCAAAACUGGCACAGAAAAAUCACAACCAGGAAUUGACACUGAUACCGUCCACCACUGUUAUUCUUGCUUCUGGAGUUCUGUUUGUAGCGUGCGUUUAGGCAUUGAGUUCUGGACAGUUUGUCGUCUGUGUGGGUUCCAUAACGCGCUAUCACAGACAGGUGGCUGCACGGUUCCGAAGCUGCGAGGAUUCUCACGUUGCCUUUUUAUGGCCACACGCGUUUCUCUCCCUCCUCCUGUCCCUCCUCAUGCCUGACCACUGGCAACCCUGAAUUUGUCCUCCAUUUCUAAAGUUUUUCAUUUCAAAAAUGUCAUAUAUCAAUGGAAUCAUACAGUUGAUAACCUUUUGGGAUUGGCUUUUUAUGCCCAGCGGUAA
rnacentral:lncRNA from 1 species